UGAGUACGAGCUGCUACGGCAGCGAAGUGGGUGAUGUCAAGCUUCCAAGAAAAGCCCUAUACCCGUUAAGGCAUGAUGGCCUGUACCCGAAACCGACACAGGUGGGGUGGUAGAGAAUACCGAGGGGCGCGAGAUAACUCUCUCUAAGGAACUCGGCAAAAUGGCCCCGUAACUUCGGGAGAGGGGGUGCCACCGCAAGGUGGCCGCAGUGAAGAGGCCCAGGCGACUGUUUACCAAAAACACAGGUCUCCGCUAAGUCGCAAGACGAUGUAUGGGGGCUGACGCCUGCCCAGUGCCGGAAGGUUAAGGAAGCUGGUCAGCGUAAGCGAAGCUAGCGACUGAAGCCCCAGUGAACGGCGGCCGUAACGAUAACGGUCCUAAGGUAGCGAAAUUCCUUGUCGGGUAAGUUCCGACCGCACGAAAGGCGUAACGAUCUGGGCGCUGUCUCGGAGAGAGGCUCGGCGAAAUAGAAUUGUCUGUGAAGAUGCGGACUACGUGCACCCGGACAGAAAGACCCUAUGAAGCUUUACUGUAGCUUGGUAUUGUGCUCGGGCUCGGAAUGCGCAGGAUAGGUGGGAGGCUAUGAACCAUUGCUUGUGGGUGAUGGUGAGCCACUGGUGAGAUACCACUCUUUCCGAGCUAGAGUUCUAACAGCCACCCGUUAUCCGGGGGCUGGACAGUAUCAGGUGGGCAGUUUGACUGGGGCGGUCGCCUCCUAAAAGGUAACGGAGGCGCGCAAAGGUUUGCUCAGGCUGGUUGGAAAUCAGCCGACGAGUGUAAAAGCAGAAGCAAGCUUGACUGUGAGACCUACAAGUCGAACAGGGAGGAAACUCGGCUUUAGUGAUCCGACGGUUCUGCGUGGAAGGGCCGUCGCUCAACGGAUAAAAGUUACUCUAGGAUAACAGGCUGAUCUCCCCCAAGAGUUCACAUCGACGGGGAGGUUUGGCACCUCGAUGUCGGCUCAUCGCAACCUGGGGCUGAAGUCGGUCCCAAGGGUUGGGCUGUUCGCCCAUUAAAGCGGUACGCGAGCUGGGUUCAGAACGUCGUGAGACAGUUCGGUCCAUAUCCGGUGCAUGCGCAGGAAUAUUGAGAGGAUUUCUCCCUAGUACGAGAGGACCGGGAGGAACGCACCUCUGGUGUACCAGUUAUCGUGCCAACGGUAAACGCUGGGUAGCCAUGUGCGGAGAGGAUAACCGCUGAAAGCAUCUAAGUGGGAAGCCCACCUCAAGAUGAGUAUUCCCAUGGGGUAACCCAGUAAGGUCACGGGAAGAACACCCGUUGAUAGGCUCUACGUGGAAGCGCAGUAAUGUGUGAAGCGGAGGAGUACUAAUAGACCGAGGGCUUGACCCC
rnacentral:rRNA from 1 species